GUUCAGAUAAUGGAAUAUUAUUCAGAACUAAAAAGAAAUGAACUAUCAAGCCAUGAAAAGACAUGGAGGAACCUUAAAUGUAUGUUACUAAGUGAAAGAAGUCAGUCUGGAAAGGCUACAUACUAUAUGAUUCCAACUAUAUGACAUUCUGCAAAAGGCAAAACUAUGGGGACAGUAAAAGGAUCAGUAAUUUCCUGGGGUUAGGAAGGAGGGAGGAAUGAAUAGGAAGAGCAUAGAGGACAUUCAGUCCAGUGAAACUAUUCUGUAGGGCACUGUAAUGGUGCAUACACCUCAUCAUACAUUUGUUAAAACCCAUAGAAUGUGUGCCACCAGUAGUGAACCCUAAUAUAAACUAUGGACUUUGAGUGAUACUAAUGUGUCAUUAUAGGUUCAUCAAUUAUACAAAUGUACCACUCUGAUGUGGGAUGUUAGUGGGGAAAGCUGUGCACAUGUUGGGGCAGGAAGUAGAGGAGAAAUCUGUACCUUCUGUGCAGUUUUGCUGUGAACUAAAACUUCUCCAAAAAAAUAAAGUCUAUUAAAAAAAAGUUAUGUGUGAUUUACUUUUUCAGGAGACACAGGAUUCACAACACCCCCACACCCUGAAGCCUGGGAAGUGCUCACUUGCCCUAUCAAGAAGUUUGGAAUCAAGCUUCCUUGAGAAAGGUGGAGCUUGGAAUCAGGUGAUGCUCAUUUUCCUCCACUGUGCACUUUUAUAGUUGGAAACAUCAAUAGCAAGUCUUCGUGGGACCAACGUGGUAACUGUACUUUACCUACAACCCUAAAUUCAUCCUGGUGGGUGUGGUGAUUUGUUGCGGUAUAAUAAGCCUUCAAGAAGGGGAAUGCAGAGACAAAAGAUGAAAGGGAGAAGAGAAACCAAGUAAGUAAAAAUGUUUACUGGUUUCCCAGCUGAUGAGAGCCACCAAAUCCCUCUCCUGAUUUCAUUGCAAGACAAACAGAUUCACAAGGAAGGAAUUGUACUUCUUAGCACUGGACUGAGGCGGUCUUAGCCUGAGCAGCCAAACCCUGCUCAGAAUCUUGGCAAACUUAACUUGAGUUACUUGACCAGCCCUCUCUAUCUUCUCCCCCGACAAAGCCUACAGGCAUUAAACUGCCUCUGAGCAGCUGACCUCAGCCCUACCCUAAGCCACACAAAGCAGCAUUCUCCUCAUUGCCAUGUCACUGGUAAACUCUUCAUUGUGCCAGUGUCAUCAUCUCUGGCAAUUACACUCCUGUUUCUUUCAAAGGGCAGCUUUCACUUUAAUAUACUCCUCUGUCAGAUAGAUUGAUUGAUUGAUUGAUUGAUUUACCAUGAAAAUU
rnacentral:lncRNA from 1 species